AGGGAAUAUUGGACAAUGGGUGAGAGCCUGAUCCAGCCAUGCCGCGUGCAGGAAGAAGGCCUUCUGGGUUGUAAACUGCUUUUGCCAGGGGAUAAAACGACCUUGCGAGGUUAAUUGAAGGUACCUGGUGAAUAAGCCACGGCUAACUACGUGCCAGCAGCCGCGGUAAUACGUAGGUGGCAAGCGUUGUCCGGAUUUAUUGGGUUUAAAGGGUGCGUAGGCGGUCCUAUAAGUCAGUGGUGAAAUACAGCCGCUUAACGGUUGAGGUGCCAUUGAUACUGUUGGACUUGAGUACAGACGAGGUAGGCGGAAUUGACGGUGUAGCGGUGAAAUGCAUAGAUAUCGUCAAGAACACCGAUAGCGAAGGCAGCUUACUAGACUGUAACUGACGCUGAGGCACGAAAGUGUGGGGAUCAAACAGGA
rnacentral:rRNA from 1 species